rnacentral:rRNA from 1 species
UACAGAGGUCUCAAGCGUUGUUCGGAUUCAUUGGGCGUAAAGGGUGUGUAGGUGGCGCCGUAAGUCGGGUGUGAAAUUUCGGAGCUUAACUCCGAAACUGCAUUCGAUACUGCGGUGCUUGAGGACUGGAGAGGAGACUGGAAUUCAUGGUGUAGCAGUGAAAUGCGUAGAGAUCAGGAGGAAGACCAGUGGCGAAGGCGGGUCUCUGGACAGUUCCUGACACUGAGACACGAAGGCCAGGGGAGCAAACGGG